UUUACUACAAUAGUUUCAAUCCAAGCUUCCAUGAAACCAUUUUAGAAGAAACCAUAUUGAAGCACUCCAUCAAUAUAAUUAAAGCUUCCGUGAAGUGAAUGUAAUCUGCAAAAUGGGAAAUAAGUAAGUUAGAAGAAGAAGACUAGAUGACGAGGAGAAGAAAUAAGUAAGUUUCAUAUCCAUUUACCUCCAAAAAGACAUACUUAGCUAAUUUAGCUCCAAGAAGAGGAGAAGAGGAGAAAUUAAAAGAAGGAAAAA
rnacentral:lncRNA from 1 species